GACGUGAGGCGCGAGCGUUGUCCGGAUUUAUUGGGCGUAAAGAGCUCGUAGGCGGCUUGUCGGCGUCGACUGUGAAAACCGUGGCUCAACCAUGUGGUCUGCAGUCGAUACGGGCAGGCUAGAAUUCGGUAGGGGAGAUGGAAUUCCUGUGUAGCGGUGAAAUGCGCAGAUAUCAGGAGGAACACCGGUGGCGAAGGCGGGUCUCUGGGCCGAUAUUGACGUGGAGGAGCGAAAGCGUGGGGAGCGAACAGGA
rnacentral:rRNA from 1 species